GAUGUACUCCCUCCGUCUGAAAAAACUUGUCCCUCAAAUGGGUGUAUCUAGCACCAAGUUAGUGCUAGAUACAUCCAUUUGAGGAACAAGUUUGGGACAAGUUUUUUCGGACGGAGGGAGUACUUU
rnacentral:pre_miRNA from 1 species